UGUGUAGAAUAAAGAUAAUGUGCCUUUUACCUUCAGGCCUGCUAUCUGACAUCACUUGAAAAUUCUCCCUGCCUUUUGUAUACCAACAACAUUUAUCUCAAGUGUAGAGGAGCCUCGCUCUGGGCUGUAUUACAAGUGGGUGUGAAGGUAUAAGGUAUGCUUAGUAUAAGAAAGAACAAUACCACUUAGAAUGCCUGUACUUGAUUGAUGUGAAGGGUUUCUAGGGAUGGAUGUGUUUGUCUGAAGAAGGGUAAGCAUUAGCCCCACCCACAUUUCCACUCUGCACAGUCACAAUUUGGCAUCAAACCAUUUAAAGUUAUAUCAGACUAACAUGUACAUCCUGGUGCUCGGGCUGCUAAGCUCUGCUCUCCCUAUUUUAAAGGAGACCUUCUAAGAAUCGUAAGCGCUUUUUUAAAAAGUACAAGUCAUAAAUGCAUUGGUGAAAAAGGAGGGAAAAAGUAUAUA
rnacentral:lncRNA from 1 species